GACGAACGCUGGCGGCGUGCUUAACACAUGCAAGUCGAACGGAAAGGCCCUGCUUUUGUGGGGUGCUCGAGUGGCGAACGUGUGUGUAACACGUGAGUAACCUGCCCUUGACUUUGGUAUACCUUCAGGAAACUGGGGCUAAUACCGGAUAGGAGCUCCUGCUGCAUGGUGGGGGUUGGAGAGUUUCUGCGGUUGGGGAUGGACUCGCGGCUUAUCAGCUUGUUGGUGGGGUAGUGGCUUACCAAGGCUUUGACGGGUAGCCGGCCUGAGAGGGUGACCGGCCACAUUGGGACUGAGAUACGGCCCAGACUCCUACGGGAGGCAGCAGUGGGGAAUAUUGCACAAUGGGCGGAAGCCUGAUGCAGCAACGCCGCGUGCGGGAUGACGGCCUUCGGGUUGUAAACCGCUUUCGCCUGUGACGAAGCGUGAGUGACGGUAAUGGGUAAAGAAGCACCGGCUAACUACGUG
rnacentral:rRNA from 1 species